rnacentral:tRNA from 1 species
GGGGAUUUAGCUCAGCGGCAUAAGUGCAGCAUAAGCGCCUGCCUUGCAAGCAGGCAGUCGUGAGUUCAAUCCCCG